UACAGAGGUCUCAAGCGUUGUUCGGAUUCAUUGGGCGUAAAGGGUGCGUAGGCGGCGCGGUAAGUCGGGUGUGAAAUUUCGAGGCUUAACUUCGAAACUGCAUUCGAUACUGCCGUGCUAGAGGACUGGAGAGGAGACUGGAAUUUACGGUGUAGCGGUGAAAUGCGUAGAUAUCGUAAGGAAGACCAGUGGCGAAGGCGGGUCUCUGGACAGUUCCUGACGCUGAGGCGCGAAAGCGUGGGGAGCAAACGGG
rnacentral:rRNA from 1 species